AUCAUGAAGGCCAAGGGUUCUAUGGGUGAUCAAAAAGGCCUAUGGCCUAGGUUGGCGACCUCCAUUGCACUUGAGAGGGGUGCUCACCUAGGUAGCGAACUGGCAAAGCCUAUGUCAUAAUUUGUGGCAACGGGGCCUGCAUUCGCGCUAGCCUCGU